rnacentral:rRNA from 1 species
AGUGAACGCUGGCGGUAGGCCUAACACAUGCAAGUCGAACGGCAGCACAGAGGAGCUUGCUCCUUGGGUGGCGAGUGGCGGACGGGUGAGGAAUACAUCGGAAUCUACUCUGUCGUGGGGGAUAACGUAGGGAAACUUACGCUAAUACCGCAUACGACCUACGGGUGAAAGCAGGGGAUCUUCGGACCUUGCGCGAUUGAAUGAGCCGAUGUCGGAUUAGCUAGUUGGCGGGGUAAAGGCCCACCAAGGCGACGAUCCGUAGCUGGUCUGAGAGGGGGAGCGGCCCCACUGGAACUGAGAAACGGUCCAGACUCCUACGAGAGGCAGCAGUGGGGAAUAUUGGAGGAUGGGCGCAAGCCUGGUCCAGCCCUACCGCGUGGGUGAAGAAGGCCUUCGGGUUGUAAAGCGCUUUUGUUGGGAAAGAAAUCCAUCUGGUUAAUACCCGGAUGGGAUGUCGGUACCCAAAGAAUAAGCACCGGCUAACUUCGUGCCAGCCGCCGCGGUAA